CACAUCUCUGAGCUAGAGAACACAGACGUGUGAAACAGGAAAAGCUGUCUGAUUUUCAGUUAGGAUUGCGGGUAGUGAAGUAGUGGUAGACCUAAUGAAUCCCUUUACUGCAGCAGGAAUGAUUUCAUUGUGACAGGAUGAGAUUGGAAUGGCUACAGGGAAGCAGGAGUCCGGAGGCAUCAGGAGACCUUUCAGCAGGGCAGCUCAGAGACACCAGGUUUUUGCACUAGCUGAGCUCAAGCUCUCUGCUAGCAGGUGGCAGAUUUGUACAAUUCACCUUACUGCUGCCCAUUUGUGUUGCUGUACCUCACCUGUCGUCUUGUUCCAUGCUGGACCCCUCAGUUCAGUAGGUUUUUUCCUUUUUGACAGUUGAGACUUGUGCUGGAUGACAGCAUGCCCUCUGUACAGACACAAAACAGAGGUCAUGUUACAGUUAGCAAGGAGCUGAUUUGAAAGAAAAAGACUAAAAUGAAGCAAAGGAGACCCACCCCCCCUCCUGCUGGAGAUGGCAUGAUGGUUUUAUACCUGAAAGAAUUCAGACACACAACAUUUGGUUUGGGUAUCAUGCUGUUCUAUUAGCUUCCAGGUAGACUUGGUGUAAGUCAACAGUGAAGGGGCUGAUUGUCCUUGAACCUGCAAGUAGGUGUGGCUGCUCACCAUUCCUGGGGGGGGAACAUGCUGCACUGCUGAUUGCAGCUAUCUUAGAAAUUGGGACAUCUGCAAGAAUGUGAUAAUUUUCUCUUUUCAGAAGGAAAGAGAGGAAAAACAAAGGUGAAAAAGAGGAUGGCUGGUAUUUACCUGAGCCCUGUGUUCAUGACUCAAUCCCUACUCUGUGCACAUUGCUCUCUUUCUAACAGAAUUGAUCCAGAGUUCAUUGAAUCACAAAGAAAGAAUCCCAUCCAUGUCAGUGGAGUUUGCAUCAAUCCUGAAACGUCAACAGAUGACCACUAAGUUACAGAAGUGUGACUGUUUAAGCUGAUGUUCAAAACUGGCCACCAAUGCACUGCAACCAAUGAACCUAUUUCCACCAGAAAUGUCAAGGCCUGAAUUCAGAUAAACCCAUCUUGAAAUUCAAUUCAAACAUCAGAGCUUGUUUCUGUUUAACACUUCACCUAAUGUCUGUGCUGCAAAAAUGCAGAUUUAUCUCUCACUUUCAAACCCAACUUUUCAUAUUUCAUUGCUCCAUAUGCUUUUGCCUAUCAGCACUUCCAUGCAGAACUGACAUAAGUACUUAAUUUUAAGCAUAUGUCUAACUCUACUGGUAUCUAUUAAAGAAUUUUAAGUUUAGACCCAUUAAUCUCCAUUAUUAAAAAUCAUGUUGAUAUUACUCCAGGCAUAAGUGUUUUAGACUCUGUCCGGCUUUGUAAGAGUCUGGAAGUGUAUUUUAUGCAGAGUACCAAGAUGG